GGUUGGGAGGAGAAGUCGCUCGAGCGGGGAAGCGGCGGCCGUUAGGAAAAUGGCGCCGUGCGGCCCGGGGCAGACCCCCGUCACUGGUCACCGCCGCCUUCCUGGCGCAGCUGCUGUGUCACGGCCACACCGGCCGGCUGUACAGCAGGCAGGAGCCGGUGACCAUUCUGGAGGCGGAUGGGGUUAAGGCCCUGUUUGGGAACUGGUCGGCCGCCUGGGUGGUGGAGUUCUACUGGUCGUGGGGCGGCCCCUGUGUUAACUAUGGGGCCACCUGGAAGGUACUGGGCCCGGGAGGUGAAAGGGCCACCAGAAGCCUUCUCAGUACUCUACAAGUGACUUCACCAACAUCCUGUACACCUUCAACAUGAUGUCCCAACUCCUUUGUUCAAUGGUGUGAACAAUUAAGCUACCCGAUGAAGGAGCAGCGCACUGAAAGCUAGUGCUUCCAAAUAAAUCUGUUGGACUAUAA